GCAACAUGGCUCAUACCUUUCAACCACGCAAAAGCAAAUGGCUCCUACCUUUCCAUCUUCCAACCAGGCAAGCAAGAGGUCAUGUGGCAGCUCAAGGGGAGGAAAUGGCAGAGGCUGCCCUCUGGGGUUUCCUGGGCUCUGCACUCACCCAGCAUGAUUCAGAGUAAGCCCCUUUCCACCACUGUGUGAUGACCUCUGAUUCCCACUUCAACUGUCAGGGUCUCCUCCAUCCCCGGCACUCGGGAAGCCGUGAUCCAGGACUCUGAGAUUAACAGACAACCAAGGAGAAACAGGGCAACCGAGGCCCUACCUGCCUGGCACGCUCGGAUGAGCCUGCGUGCCCGUCCGAAACAGCUGCCAAACCCUGGUGCGGGGGGAAGCAUUUGUCUCCCCAGCCCAGACUGGUGACCCUUCUGCUGUGGCAACGAGCAGAGAAAUGCCACCACCUUUGCGGGAAGCUCCCUCCUCCCUCUUUGUGUUGGGAGCCAUUUCCUAGGCAAAUCAGGCCGGAUGGAUCCUUUCCAGAAAGAACCUGAUGUAUCAGGUGAGUGGCCCAUCUCAUCCAGCAUCCUGUUCUUGCCCUGGCCAGCCAAAUGCCUCUGAUAAGCCUGUAUGCAGGACCCGAGCACCACAGCAACUCUCUUCUCUGGCAAAUGGUAUUCAGAAGCACACUACCUUCCCUUUAGAAGACAGCCAUCAGGGUUAGUAGCCACUGAUCGCUUGCUCUGUGCAUUUGUCUCCCAGCCAACCUAGCAGGCCAAAGUUCCUCAAAAGCCCAAGGAAGUAAGCAACAGAACUUCCCAAUGGGCUCCCAGCCAGCUCAAACAUUCAACCAUCUUGCCUUUUCUUUCAAGCCUGCCAGCCGCAGCAGCUGUUGGUCCCUUUGCUCCUGAUGUCUUCCGUUUGCAGAGAGAAAGCAAGUGCAGCAAGUACAACCAAGAAGGAGAGAGAGGGGGAGAAAGUUGGGGGGCAAGUCCAGGAAAUCAGGGUCAGUUAGAGGGGCCAUGUGUCCUGCUUAAAAGAGGACAGACCUCGGUUUGAAGGCAUUCCGAAUUUGAAGGCCUGUCUAGUCCAUGUUUGGCUUAAAGACAAAGGAAGUCUAAAGAGGGGUGCAAUACUAUACUAUUUCUAAACAUGGAGGGGGGGCAAUUACUUGGCCACCCUUUGCAGAAGUAGCUGAAAGACUCUGCUGCGGCUGGCAUUCAAUGAGGUAUGCAGUCAACUGUAAUUUACUUGAGUGUUCUGGUUUGUUGAGCGCAAUAAAAUGCUGGGAGUGUGGGGUGCUCUUCUUCAGGGUUCCAACUCCCCUUUUAAAACCACCUAAGCAAGCAACGAUAUUGUGGCAGGAAGUUCCACAAACUAAUUCUGCAUCCUGUGAAGAACUACCCACCUGUGUGUAUGAGCUCCACAGUGCUUAGUUCAUUUUUUGGUUGCUAUUUUGUUAAUGUUGUUUUAUAGAUUAUGAAUGCUGCAGUACUUUGUGGAUCCUAUAAUAUGGCUUUUAUUAUAUUUGUGCUGUUUAGCUUUUUAAAAAAGUUGUUUUGUUAAUAGUGCUUUAUAGAUCGUAAUCGUUUCACCAAUGAUUUGUUAAUUCUUCUGUAUGAUAUAUGCUGUGUUUUUGGUGUUCUAUUAUGUGAUUGUUAUUUAUUGUUUGUAAGCCACUUGGCAAUUCAUUCGAAUGAAAAGCGGCAGAGAAAUAUAAUAAAUCAAAUCACAUGCAUUUCUGCAUGAGGCUUUCCGACAGCUGAGGCUAUUUGAACCAGCUGAUCACACAGAGAAGCAGCGGGCACCCUCUUCUGAGCCGACCAAAGCCUCCUGACAUACAAUUUGAGAAUUCCUGUUACGGGACUCAGAAUCAUUAUUUCCUUUGACCAGGUUUCACAGACGAAACAUCCUUGUUUCAGGUCAGACUAUUAUCCAUCUAGCCCAAUAGAGCCUGCUCUGACUGGCAACAGCUCCCCAUGUUUCCAUCAGAAAAGGGACUUCCUCGCAGUCUGAAACUACCCGGAGGUGUCAGGGAGUGAACCUGGGACGUUCUGCAUGCAGUGCAGGAGCUGCUCCCGCGUUCCACCUGACUGCCUGCACUUCUCACUGCCUGCGUCACUUGGCAAGUCCUCGGGCAGAUGUGGAACCAGGCAGAUGUGGGGCCUGCCAAACGCCCCCAUUCCCAGCACUUUGAAGAACCGUGUGUUUUGAAUUUCAUCUCAGGAGUUUUUUUCUCUCUCCGAGACUUCAGCAGAUUAAAGUUGAA